rnacentral:rRNA from 1 species
GCGUAAAGCGUGCGCAGGCGGUUAUAUAAGACAGUUGUGAAAUCCCCGGGCUCAACCUGGGAAUUGCAUCUGUGACUGUAUAGCUAGAGUACGGUAGAGGGGGAUGGAAUUCCGCGUGUAGCAGUGAAAUGCGUAGAUAUGCGGAGGAACACCGAUGGCGAAGGCAAUCCCCUGGACCUGUACUGACGCUCAUGCACGAAAGCGUGGGGAGCGAACAGGAUUAGAUACCCUGGUAGUCCACGCCCUAAACGAUGUCAACUGGUUGUUGGGUGCAUUAGUACUCAGUAACGAAGCUAACGCGUGAAGUUGACCGCCUGGGGAGUACGGCCGCCAGGUUGAAACUCGGAGGAAUUGACGGGGACCCGCACAAGCGGUGGAUGAUGUGGCCUAAUUCGAUGCAACGCGCAAAACCGUACCUACCUUUGACAUGUACGGAAUUCGCCAGAGAUGGCUUAGUGCUCGAAAGAGAACCGUAACACAGGUGCUGCACGGCUGUCGUCAGCUCGUGUCGUGAGAUGUUGGGUUAAGUCCCGCAACGAGCGCAACCCUUGUCAUUAGUUGCUACAUUUAGUUGGGCACUCUAAUGAGACUGCCGGUGACAAACCGGAGGAAGGUGGGGAUGACGUCAAGUCCUCAUGGCCCUUAUAGGUAGGGCUACACACGUCAUACAAUGGAUGGUACAAAGGGUCGCCAACCCGCGAGGGGGAGCCAAUCCCAUAAAACCAUUCGUAGUCCGGAUCGCAGUCUGCAACUCGACUGCGUGAAGUCGGAAUCG